rnacentral:rRNA from 1 species
UUUUUUAGCUAUUUAUAGCUAAUUAACACAAUCCCGGGGCGUUCUAUAUAGUUAUGUAUAAUGUAUAUUUAUAUUAUUUAUGCCUCUAACUGGAACGUACCUUGAGCAUAUAUGCUGUGACCCGAAAGAUGGUGAACUAUACUUGAUCAGGUUGAAGUCAGGGGAAACCCUGAUGGAAGACCGAAACAGUUCUGACGUGCAAAUCGAUUGUCAGAAUUGAGUAUAGGGGCGAAAGACCAAUCGAACCAUCUAGUAGCUGGUUCCUUCCGAAGUUUCCCUCAGGAUAGCUGGUGCAUUUUAAUAUUAUAUAAAAUAAUCUUAUCUGGUAAAGCGAAUGAUUAGAGGCCUUAGGGUCGAAACGAUCUUAACCUAUUCUCAAACUUUAAAUGGGUAAGAACCUUAACUUUCUUGAUAUGAAGUUCAAGGUUAUGAUAUAAUGUGCCCAGUGGGCCACUUUUGGUAAGCAGAACUGGCGCUGUGGGAUGAACCAAACGUAAUGUUACGGUGCCCAAAUUAACAACUCAUGCAGAUACCAUGAAAGGCGUUGGUUGCUUAAAACAGCAGGACGGUGAUCAUGGAAGUCGAAAUCCGCUAAGGAGUGUGUAACAACUCACCUGCCGAAGCAACUAGCCCUUAAAAUGGAUGGCGCUUAAGUUGUAUACCUAUACAUUACCGCUAAAGUAGAUGAUUUAUAUUACUUGUGAUAUAAAUUUUGAAACUUUAGUGAGUAGGAAGGUACAAUGGUAUGCGUAGAAGUGUUUGGCGUAAGCCUGCAUGGAGCUGCCAUUGGUACAGAUCUUGGUGGUAGUAGCAAAUAAUCGAAUGAGACCUUGGAGGACUGAAGUGGAGAAGGGUUUCGUGUGAACAGUGGUUGAUCACGAGUUAGUCGGUCCUAAGUUCAAGGCGAAAGCCGAAAAUUUUCAAGUAAAACAAAAAUGCCUAACUAUAUAAACAAAGCGAAUUAUAAUACACUUGAAUAAUUUUGAACGAAAGGGAAUACGGUUCCAAUUCCGUAACCUGUUGAGUAUCCGUUUGUUAUUAAAUAUGGGCCUCGUGCUCAUCCUGGCAACAGGAACGACCAUAAAGAAGCCGUCGAGAGAUAUCGGAAGAGUUUUCUUUUCUGUUUUAUAGCCGUACUACCAUGGAAGUCUUUCGCAGAGAGAUAUGGUAGAUGGGCUAGAAGAGCAUGACAUAUACUGUUGUGUCGAUAUUUUCUCCUCGGACCUUGAAAAUUUAUGGUGGGGACACGCAAACUUCUCAACAGGCCGUACCAAUAUCCGCAGCUGGUCUCCAAGGUGAAGAGUCUCUAGUCGAUAGAAUAAUGUAGGUAAGGGAAGUCGGCAAAUUAGAUCCGUAACUUCGGGAUAAGGAUUGGCUCUGAAGAUUGAGAUAGUCGGGCUUGAUUGGGAAACAAUAACAUGGUUUAUGUGCUCGUUCUGGGUAAAUAGAGUUUCUAGCAUUUAUGUUAGUUACUUGUUCCCCGGAUAGUUUAGUUACGUAGCCAAUUGUGGAACUUUCUUGCUAAAAUUUUUAAGAAUACUAUUUGGGUUAAACCAAUUAGUUCUUAUUAAUUAUAACGAUUAUCAAUUAACAAUCAAUUCAGAACUGGCACGGACUUGGGGAAUCCGACUGUCUAAUUAAAACAAAGCAUUGUGAUGGCCCUAGCGGGUGUUGACACAAUGUGAUUUCUGCCCAGUGCUCUGAAUGUCAAAGUGAAGAAAUUCAAGUAAGCGCGGGUCAACGGCGGGAGUAACUAUGACUCUCUUGGGGAUCAUGGGGUAUUUGAGAGCAGAGGGGGAGUAUUCUUCUGUAAUUCGUAAGUCAUAUCAUAUGAUGUGCGGAAGGGGAAUUUUACUCUGUAACUCACAAGUCUCUCCUUUACUCAAGUCGACUCAAAACCUCCUCGUGGUGGUCCCCGGUAAUGCUAAACUCGUUUAGCAGCUAAUUUGAGCGGCAAAACUUUUCCGAUGGGCUGGUUCCCCAGAGGAAAUUUAUUCAUAUUGGAACUACAAGCACAAAUAACGAGCCUCGGAUACCUUUACACAAUCUGAUGACGACCCGACCCUCCGUGGAUAUCUUCCCGGAGGACCAAUAUGAACCAAACGCAGCGGCUACUCUAUCUAGGGUUCCCUGCACAGUAUGUGGCCGGUCCUUUAACAGCAAGAGAGGACUCGGUGUUCACAUGCGAUCUCGGCACCCAGACGAACUUGAUGAAGAACGUCGACGUGUCGAUAUAAAGGCAAGAUGGAGUGAUGAAGAGAAGUGGAUGAUGGCGAGAAAGGAGGUUGAGCUCACAGCAAAUGGAUGUAAACACAUAAACAAGCAACUAGCGGUGUAUUUUGCAAACCGCAGCGUCGAAGCCAUCAAAAAGCUAAGACAGAGGGGCGAUUAU